GCCCGCAUGGCUCAGUGGUAGAGCGUCUCACUCGUAAAUCACGUGACUUUCCCUUGAAAGUAAUGAGAAGAUCCUUCGUUCGAUCCGGAGUGUGGGCA
rfam:Eutypa lata TCREL1 unplaced genomic scaffold EL1_03_scaffold_1266, whole genome shotgun sequence.